AUUGAACGCUGGCGGCAUGCCUUACACAUGCAAGUCGAACGGUAACGCGGGGCAACCUGGCGACGAGUGGCGAACGGGUGAGUAAUACAUCGGAACGUGCCCAGUAGGGGGGGAUAGCCCGGCGAAAGCCGGAUUAAUACCGCAUACGACCUACGGGUGAAAGCGGGGGAUCGCAAGACCUCGCGCUAUUGGAGCGGCCGAUGUCAGAUUAGCGAGUGGGUGGGGUAAAAGCCUACCAAGGCGACGAUCUGUAGCUGGUCUGAAAGGACGACCAGCCACACUGGGACUGAGACACGGCCCAGACUCCUACGGGAGGCAGCAGUGGGGAAGUUUGGACAAUGGGGGCAACCCUGAUCCAGCCAUGCCGCGUGCGGGAAGAAGGCCUUCGGGUUGUAAACCGCUUUUGUCGGGGAAGAAACGGUCUGCGCUAAUACCGCGGACUAAUGACGGUACCCGAAGAAUAAGCACCGGCUAACUACGUGCCAGCCGCCGCCGUAAAAC
rnacentral:rRNA from 1 species